rnacentral:lncRNA from 1 species
UUAAACUUCAUGUAGAAGCCAUAAAACCUCAAAAAAACCAUUUAAAACUUGUCUGAUUUUGAAAACAAAGCAAAACUAAAAAUAAAUUUGGUCCAAGACCACCAAAAAUUCCAGAAAACUCAGAGGAAUAUGAAAAUAUAUUUUUGGGAUUUUUAGGGUUCAUAAAUUGGCCAUAAAUAAUUAAAUUCAUAAGUUAUAUAAAAGAAAUAACAAAAUAAACACAUUUUAGAAAUUAAAAUACCAAAAAUAGCAAACUAAAUGGAAAAAUAAAAUAAAAAUCAUAAAUAAAAAAUAGGCACAAUUUCUGGAUUAUAC